UUAGACUCACCUUAAUUAGUGUUAAAAACAUUUUCUUUAAGCCUAGGUUUCAUUUUAAUAAUGUAAGUUUAUUUCGAAAUCAUAUUCCUUGAAUUCAUAUUUUGUUUUAGUUUCCUUUCAUUUAAAUUGAUUCAUUUUAAUUAUUUUAGGUGUUCUUAUAAUUCUUAAUAAAAAUAAAUUUUAUAUUUAAAGGUGAUUGUCCUAGGUUUAUUCUGAUUUAGCUUCCCUCAUCGAUUCAAUUUAGGUAUUUUCCAUAAUAUUAGUUCGUUAAUAAAAUUAAUUUUUUGAUUGAAAAUUAUUGUUUUCCUUGAUUUGAUUAGGUUCAAUUUAAUUAGUCAGGAUGUGUUUGGGGGUUUAAUUGAUCACAUGGUAAUUCUUGAUUAUUACUCUCGAUUGAUAUGUUUCUUAAACAUUAGUCAUUAAUUCAUUUGACUUGAGAUUGAAUAGUUUAUCGCUUUAGUAGACUCUGGUGAUUGUUAUUCUAAAUUGACAUGUUUCUUGGAUAUUGGUUCUUAAUUCUUAGUGGGUAUCUCGUUAGCUUAUUUGAUCUAAGUUUGAAUAGUUUAUUGCUUUGAUAGUCUCUUAUAAAAUUUACUUUUUAGAGGUCAUUGGAAAAUCACGAAGAUUGACCUCUACCCUCACCUUUAUCAUUUUUGUUGAUUACUAAAAAAUUUUACUUCAUGAUUUUAUUUUAUUUUCUUUUGUUUUGUAUUUUGUUUCUUAUGUUUUGUUGUUUUCAAAUUAAUUUCAUUUAUUUUUAAAACAAAACACUUUUCUCAAAAGAUCCAUUUGAAAAUCUAUUUAAAAAAAAAAUCAUUUAGAGUCCUUAGAAUCAAAAUCCCAUUUUCUUUAAAAAUAUGAGACCAUGUUUUGAUCGGUUUGCAUCUUUCUCAGUUUUCAAUAAAAAUUCUGGUUUCGAAUGAAAUAUGAAUCAAAGCUUGUGGUCCCAAAUAAAUGGGAUGAUUCUUAGCUAGAUUUAUGUAUACCAAUUGGGGAAUUGGUGAAACCCCUACAUAAGAAAAUUUUUCAAAACUCUUCCUUGCUACCAGUUUUUACUUAGCCACUGACCCUUUAGAUUCAAAAUUCGUUUCAGCAACUUUGGAAUGUUUUUAAAAAUUUUCCAAAACUUUUAUGACUUUCCUCACUUCUUAAACUUGAAUUUAAAGUUUUGUUUGAGUUAGAAAGUCAUUCUGGAAUGGAAGAUAUAAAUGAGUUUUUAGGGCGGGCUCCGUCUUCACCCAGUUCUAGACACCUGAGAUCUUUUUGAAAAAAUAAAAUAUCAAACGAGUUUUUAAAUUUAAUUAAAUAUUUUUCCUCAAUUCUAGGCUUCUUAAAAUUGAUAUUAGACACAUAAAAUAUUAAAAAAUAUACCUUUUUGAGGGAGAUAUGAUUUUUCAAAGUAUUACCUGCUGCACAUGUUGAAUUCUAGACAUCUGAUUAGCUUGAGUAUUUUAGAAAUAUUUUUGAGUACUAUUCGACCCUGGAUUCAUUUUUUAUGUGAUAUAGACACUUUGAAAUAUGUGUGUGAUCAUUUAUGUGAUCAUUUAUUUUAUUUUUUUAUAAUUCGUUUAUGCAUGUCAGUUUUUCUUAUCUAAUCUGGACUUUGUAAAGCCUUUAGGUAUCUUUGCUACAACCUGUCCCUUGAAUGAGAGUUUGGCCUUCGGUAUGUUGAUCUAGAUGUGUAGGAGUAGUUUUCUGAAUUUUUUUCAUAAUUAAAUUCCACUCUAAGCCAUUUUUUAGAAAUUGUUUUUUUGAUGCUCUAUUUUCUAAUUGCAUGUUGAUGGUUUUAUACUUUACUUGAAAUUGUUAUUAUUUUUGGAGUCAUUUGAUUUAUCUUAGACAUAAUAAAGGUGUUAUAUAAUAUAUACUUGUCCUAACCACUCUAGCCUUUUUUUGAGGAAUCUUAGAAAUUAUGCAUGCUAUCCAAGUACACUCUCAAUCACUACUUUUUGGAAUUUUAUGAACAUGCAUGUUAUUGUGAGCCUUAUUUAUGUUUGAUGUGAUCCUUAGGUGCUUAGAUGUAUGCUUGAUUGCCUUAAUAUAUGUUUGAUCGUUUGAUUUGCCCUUGUUAAAACAAAUGUUGUGUGCUAUAUUUCUAUAUUAACUUUGAUGUUUUAUGAUAGCGUUUGAGAAGCAGUCCAAGUACGCACCCUAAAUUUCUUUUAUGAUCAGGAUUUGACUUUUCUUGUUUAGCAUGCUAUCUUUUGAAAUCACCUCAGUCUACCUAGGUACCCUCAAUCAAUCAAUUAAUUACCACAUUUCCCUCAACUUAGUCAGUAGAGACCUUUAUAGGGCUUAGAGGGUGCUAACUUUUAGAAGUAUCUUCCCAAUAGGUAAUCUGAUCCCCGAACCUAGACUAGGGUUUUUAAAAGACAAGUUUUUCCAAAAACUAUGGAGUCACUUUUUUUAGGUUUUCUUUCUUGUUUUAUUUAUCCUCUUAAAUAAAAUAAAAUAAGUGACGACUCCGACUUUUCCAAAAACAAAAUUUUCACCAAAUAAAAGCGAGUCUGGCCAAUCGAGUGGGGGCGCACGUGAAAAAUGCAGGUCCACACACUACUAGCCAGUAGUCUUCUCCAACAUCGACGGUUACCCUAAUCUCCGGCCACAUCUUCCCCCUCUCCCUCUUUUUAUCUCUUUUUUCUUUCUACCCCAAAAUUCAUUCCUUCCACUUUCAUUUUGGAGGCUUCAAAAAUGACUUUUCUUGGUGUUUGGACGAGUGUUUUGGCACUGUGCUGAAAAUGGGAAAAACAAAAAAGUGGUUGGAGCAGUUGAAGGUUGAAGACAGGGCAUGGGUUGGCCAGACGGAGGAUGAGAAUUUUUGGAUUAAAAAAGAAAAUGGGUGGACGUGCUUGAGAAUGGGGGGCAUAGGAAAUCCAAGAGGUGGAUUCUCUCUUCUUUUUCUUUGUUAUAUAUAUUUACUAUGAGGAGAGACAUUUUUUGGAUUUUUUGGAGCUGCCAAGAUAUUGUAAUUUUUGUUGGAGCAACAUUAUUGUACAAGGUGUACUCGGAUCCUUCCCCUCAUUUUGUUAUUUAUUUUUUAUUUUUUGGUUA